rnacentral:rRNA from 1 species
UAAUGUAUCGGAACGUGCCCAGUCGUGGGGGAUAACUGCUCGAAAGAGCAGCUAAUACCGCAUACGACCUGAGGGUGAAAGCGGGGGAUCGCAAGACCUCGCGCGAUUGGAGCGGCCGAUAUCAGAUUAGGUAGUUGGUGAGGUAAAGGCUCACCAAGCCGACGAUCUGUAGCUGGUCUAAGAGGACGACCAGCCACACUGGGACUGAGACACGGCCCAG